CUCCGUGCUCCCUGUUGGUUUCCCCCCUCCGCAUCGCUCGAUCCAACUCCUCCCUCUCCCUCGGUCUCGCCUCUCCUAUCGCUCGAUGUCGCUCGAUCCUCUCUAGGGUUCGCCGCCCGCCGCCGUCCCUCGCCGUCCUGCUCCGCUGUCGCCCCUCCCUCCACCUACCUCGCCCCUGCUCUAGGGUUCGCCUCCCGCCGCCGCCGCCCCCCGUCGCCCUGCUCCGCUGUUGCCCGUCCUUCCGCCUGCCUCGCCCCCUCCCCUACACUCACCCCUGCCCGAUCUGGAUGAGGCGUUGCCUCCUGUUCCUCUCAUCGCGUCCCUUGUGCCAGCCAUGGAAGAGGGGAGGAAGAAGGGGAGGGAGAGCAAAGAGGACCGCGGUGGCGAUGUGCCAACGUUGGCAGGACGAAGAUGUGUGAAUCAAGGAGUCCCUGCAUCUACCCGCGACCCUAGAAUAGCCGCUACCGCUGUGACCUUUCUCCAUGCCGUGAGCUUCGAGGAGUCUGGCGGCGCCAUCACGCCGGCCUCUGUCCAAGAGGUCAUCGCGCUCAACAGGCCCUCACUCCUCGGCUCCGCCUGCGGAGGUCGUCGACGCCAUCGCAGGGUGCCGCUUUGAGGCCGGGGUUGAAGCUGCCACCGAGGAGGCCAUCUUGACGCAGAUGUUGCAGGCACUCCUGACGUUCAUGCGCUCCCCUGCGAUUAGUGACCAACACAUCUGCUCUGUCGUGAGCAUGUGCUUCGUGUCAUACAGGUCGCGGCCAAAGGCGAGCUCGUGCAGCGGUUCAGGUGCAUCCCAUAGGGGCAGCUCAAGUUUCUUUCAUAAUGCUAUUUGUUCUGAGUGCAUUGUAUAUUGAAGUAAACUGGAUGGGUUAAUCUUGAGUUCCUCCAUCAAGUUAUAUUACCUCGACAAGAAAAGGUGCAGGGAAACCAUAUAAAGUACUAUGGUGAGUCUAUCUCAAUUGAACUAGAACUCAAAUUGUAGCAAUUCCAAGCUUUUCUCUACAACUGCAAUUGGGUGGACUAUGGUAUGGGUCGGUUUAUUAGUUUGAAGGGAUUUUAAGUGACAACCUGCUACUUUUUCUACUGGUAGUGAAUUCAAAUUAAGUCUGAUGUCUCUAUCUAAUAUACUGAACCUGGAAGAUUUGUCUGAGGUCUUUAUCUAAUAUAUCAAGAAUUGUCUUUCUGUUCUGAACAUGGAACUGAACAUGAGAAAUUUACCUUACUGUUAAUUGCAGUUUUGUCUCAUUGCCAAUAUAUCUGCAUAAGGUACAUCUAAGGAGGCCUUCUCCGACAAGGAGGCUGCGGGUCGAGGUCGUCGGCAGUGACGAUGCCGCCAGCCGCAAGCGCCGCCGCGAGGACGACAAAAGAGAAGUUUAGAUCUUUUUGGACAGUUAUUGCAGCCAACAGCCAACAUUCUAAAUGAGUAUAAAAUGAGGUAAUAUAUCCCUCUGUGAUAAUAGUUUAACAUAUGGGCUACUCGUGGUUGCAUGCUAAAUUAUUGCUGGUAUCAACUUUAUUAUUAGUUUAGUGAUUAUUACAAGCAUCUCAAUUUUUCAGUCAAAGGCAUCUAAAAUGUUUCUUGAUUCACGCAUGUAUAUUUCAAAGAGGAAUGCAGCCUUGAGUAAAUGAAUAUUGCAAAGCUUAAUACCAGUCCCCAAAACUUGCUCUGGCCAGAGAAAGAGGCCAAUAUCCGGCGUGGUCUGUUCAAUCUACUACAUGUAAUUUGAUAUGUGUAGCUAGACCCCGUCGAAGUGAUCUUUUUGUUUCUCGUCUCAUGUAACUGAAGAAAAUGAGAGAAGGUAUUGGACACUGGUCAUGUAUGUAGUCGGCAGAGCUGUUUUAUGCAAUGCCUAUUGUCACAAUAGCAUAUAUGUCUAUACGGGGAGGAGACCAAGAGAGUACAUCAGAAGCCAUUGAUUUGCCAUGGAAUAUUAAAAACUUUCAGAUUACCUGUUCAUAUGAUGGUAUCCACAAGAAACUUCCUAUCCUGUAUGUUUUAGCAUGCUCCACACAAAUAUAUUAAUUAAUUUGUGUAGGUAUGCUUCUCCUUCUUUCAGUUCCUGAAUAAUUAUACCACCAUCUGUGUGGAGUAUCUUGUAGUGCUCCACACAAAUAGAUAAAUUAUUAUUUAUGAGUAUGCUUCUCCUUUUAUCAGCUCCUGAAGAAUUAUACUGAUGUCGUGUGCUUUAUUUGCAAGAUUUAUAUGACUUAAACAAGAACUUGUUAAAUAAUAUGAGUGCAUAUAAGUAGAUUGAUCUUGCCUCUUAUGUAGUCUGGUAGAUUUGGAAAGAAAGGAAUUGCAGAUUUUGUCUGGACAAAGAGAUGAAGCCAGAAAGGUAAAUGUCUCAAGUUCUACAGAAUGUUCGCCUCAUAUUGGAGGCAUUUGAAACAAGCCUUUGCUACUGUACAUCCAAGCUGGGUUCUUGAUGUUAAUUUCAUUUAUACGCAUAGUAAUAAAUUUUGCCCCUGGCUUCCUAAGCAUAUACUUUGUUCCUGGCUAGGAAUAAUUUCCAAACAGUUUUACAAAUGGUGAAAAAGAAAGGGUUUUGUUUACUAUUUUUUAUGACCGUGGACUCAUGAGUUCAUAACAUAUAAUGUAUUAUUUGUGUUCAUUCCUUUAAUGUGGAUUAUAACAUGAUCUACCUUUGCAUAAACAUCAAGGACUACUUUUGGUUCAUAUUCAUGCAUCCACUUCUCGAUAUUGAGAUUUUUCACAUAUACUGAACUUGUCUUAGUCAGCCCAACUCAGCUGUAUGUGUGACAUUUAUAAGAUGACUCCGUAAAAUUCAUAGAAGACACUAUUCUUUUAUUCUGUUCUUUUGUUUCUUCCAGAUUUUGCUCUCCUUGCUUAUAUUUCGAUAUUGUUAAUUUGAUUAGAUGACUCGGUCGAUGAUGUUGGGCAUGUCCAUGGUAUCCAUUAAAAAACUUAAAAAAAGUCUUGCACCGGAAUAAAAUUAGAUAGCACACCACUUAUGAGUCGAAACAUAUGCAAGCCAAGCCGGUACCAUAAAAUUAGUAGAUUAGGUCCAUUCCAGCCGCUAAUUCUUUGUGCCAAUGCUAAGUAUGUGAUGAUCUUUCCACAAAAAAUCAAGUUUGUAUAGAGUGACCAAUGCUAAGUAUGUGAUAAGCUUGCACUGACUUUUAGUUACAUCUGAUGAUCUUUCCACAAAAAAUGUAUUAUAGAGUGUAAUAUUUACAGUGUGGGGAUGUUGGUGGCCAAGAAAGUUUAUGCCCUUGUGAAGACAUUACUAUGAAAUCCUAAGUUAUCCUGUAAAAAGGAUUCUUAUGAUACGCAUGUAAAGCAACUUCUGAACUUUUAUGUAGAUAUUUAAGUGCCAAUACCAUCUUUUGGUAUAACACAAAAAAAUCAAGUUUUGAGGCCAGAGAUUUACCUUGCUUUUGCAUGUGCAUUACUUUAGCUAUUCAACCUGCCGUCGAGCUUUUAGUUGAAGUUCACUAAAUUUCUUAUAUCGGCAUUUCAGGGAUAAUACGAUUGACCCAACUGUUACCGGUGCAAUGCUUUUGGGGUCGACCAAAACAUUUAAAAAUGUUAAAUGUGGUUAUGUGAUAAAAUCAAGUAUGAAGGAGGAAGAGAUCAACACCAGCCGCGGCAACAAAGAUGACAGUGUGUCUCACUGAGCAUGAGCAAUGGCACACUCUUGUCGAGUACCUACCAAGAUGCUUCCCUGGUCAGACUUCGAGCACUUCCUCCUUGCCGCCGCCGCCUUGGCUAAUGUUGUUGUUUCCUUGGAUAAGCCGUAUCAGGUGUAUUUGAAGGUUGCCAGUUUAGGUGGGCCAAACAACCAGUGCGCUGAGGUCAAAAUAAGCAUGACACCAGCUUUAUUCUUUUAGGGGUCGCCUACAUGAUGAAGGAUGCUCAGGCACACAUCAUUGUUGGGUUUUCGCAUGUCAUGUCAUACUUGGUCUGUAACUGAAUCUUGAGAAUUCAUUUGUAUGACUUGAUGUACAGACGUGUUAUUCAUAAUGAAAAUAAUAUCAUUGUAUGUGCUUAAAAUAUUA